GAAGGUGUGUCGUGAGGCAUGCUGGAGGUAUCAGAAGUGCGAAUGCUGACAUAAGUAACGAUAAAGCGGGUGAAAAGCCCGCUCGCCGGAAGACCAAGGGUUCCUGUCCAACGUUAAUCGGGGCAGGGUGAGUCGACCCCUAAGGCGAGGCCGAAAGGCGUAGUCGAUGGGAAACGGGUUAAUAUUCCCGUACUUGGUGUUACUGCGAAGGGGGGACGGAGAAGGCUAUGUUGGCCGGGCGACGGUUGUCCCGGUUUAAGCGUGUAGGUGUGUGUUCCAGGUAAAUCCGGUUCACUUUAACACUGAGGCGUGAUGACGAGGCACUACGGUGCUGAAGCAACAAAUGCCCUGCUUCCAGGAAAAGCCUCUAAGCAUCAGGUAACAUCAAAUCGUACCCCAAACCGACACAGGUGGUCAGGUAGAGAAUACCAAGGCGCUUGAGAGAACUCGGGUGAAGGAACUAGGCAAAAUGGUGCCGUAACUUCGGGAGAAGGCACGCUGACACGUA
rnacentral:rRNA from 1 species